rnacentral:rRNA from 1 species
UGCCAGUGAUAAACUGGAGGAAGGUGGGGAUGACGUCAAGUCAUCAUGGCCCUUACGACCAGGGCUACACACGUGCUACAAUGGCAUAUACAAAGAGAAGCGACCUCGCGAGAGCAAGCGGACCUCAUAAAGUAUGUCGUAGUCCGGAUUGGAGUCUGCAACUCGACUCCAUGAAGUCGGAAUCGCUAGUAAUCGUAGAUCAGAAUGCUACGGUGAAUACGUUCCCGGGCCUUGUACACACCGCCCGUCACACCAUGGGAGUGGGUUGCAAAAGAAGUAGGUAGCUUAACCUUCGGGAGGGCGCUUACC